AUGCAGGGGCCACAGAGGAGUUUGGGGCCCCUGGAGAGAGCUGCAGGGGGUGCGAGGCCCCAGGAGGGUGCAGUGCUCCAGGAGGGUGCGGGAACCCCAGAGGAAUUCAGGGCCUCUGGAGGGUGCAGGGCCCCAGAGGAAUUCGGGGCCUCUGGAGGGUGCAGGGCCCCAGGGGGUGCGAGGCCCCAGGAGGGUGCAGGGCCCCAGCGGGUGCGGCGGGGAAUUCAGGGCCCCAGGAGGGUGCAGGGACCCCAGGGGAAUUCAGGGCCUCUGGAGGGUGCAGUGCUCCAGGAGGGUGCGGCGACCCCAGAGGAAUUCGGGGCCCCUGGAGGGUGCCGGGCCCCAGCAGGUGCACGGCCCCUGGACGGGGCGAGGCUCCGGGGGGUGGGAGCCCCCGCCAGCGCCUCCCCGGCUCCCGAGGCCCGAGGCCCUGCGCAGCAGCCAGCGGGGGCACGGAGCCUCUCCGUCCCGAGCACCCCAGCACCCCCGCACCCCCAGCCCCGGCGCGGGCCCCCCUGCUCGGGCGCCUGGCCCCAACGAGCCCGCGCUGUCUCGCUCGUUCCCACGGCGGGGGGUUUAUUUUCCUUUCUCGCCCCGUCGAACAGGAAGCGAAGCGAGGCGGUGCGCGCCGGCCUAGCGGGUGCGGGGCGCGCGCGGCAGCACCAGCAGCGGGAUCUGCUCCAGCCGCUCGGGCCGCGCCCCCCGCCGCCGCCACGCCGCCAGCCUCCGCAGCAGCCCCUGCAGGCGCCGGGGCGCCCACCCGCCGCGCUCGGGGGCCUUCCUGCGGCGCCCUCCGCGGCCCGCGCCGCGCGCCCACAGCCGCCGCCAGCACCAGCAGCCCGCGCCGCCCCCGCCUCCGCCUCCGCCGCCGCCGCCGCCGCCCCGGGGCCUCCGCGCCUCCGCCAUGCCCGCGCUGCCCGCACGCUCCUCCGGGCCGAGGGCUCCUCGGUGCGCGCCCGGGUCGCCCGGGAAACGCGAACGCGGGCCCACAAUGCCCCGCACGGGCCGCCGGGGGUUGGGGGGAGGAUGGGGGGGAUGGGCCGCGUGACCCCUGCCUGGCCUCGACACCGACACCGAGGGCGGGAUCCAGGCGUGCCCGGGGCUCGAACGGCCCCCUCGGCUCCCCCACUGGAUCCCAACUUGGCUGCCGGGCCCAGGCCAGUGUUGCCUGCAGGCUUGUCGUUUCGGGGACGCUGGUUUCAGGGCUUCUCUGAUUUUCCACAAAGGCGGGGAACCAGUGUCUCAGGAAAGAUCCCCAAACCUGUCAUCUGGGCAGAAGCCUUUUGGUCCUCAUGGCAUAAGCCAUUCCCCUUCAAGAACCACUUGGUUGCUUUGCUCCUUCUCCAGUUGUCCGUGGGGGCCUCCUCCUCGUAUUCCGGGCUGUGUGUGCUUCCUGCUUCCUGUGCCAGAAAGUCAAGCACAAGUUUCUUAGGGGGAAAAUACAUGAACUAA
rnacentral:lncRNA from 1 species